GUUUUGAUUUUGUUUUAAAGGACAAGAGACUUCCUCCAGACUAAAAGACAAGAGACUUCCUCCAGACUGUCUUCAUUUUCUUAGGGCAUUUUCUCUCCCAUUCCCAACCCCUGAAGUUAUUGUAACUCUUUACUUUAAAAUGAGCAACGUUCUAUGUUCCCAACACCAGAUGUUCCCAGUUCCUGAGCAAACCAACAAAAAUAGGCAGGCAUUUUCUGAUGAUGCGAUAAAGAGGGCAGCAACCUGCUUACUUCAGAGAAAACCUUCCCUUCCAUCACUGCUAAUGCUGAAAUUAUUUCUCUGCCAGAUGUUUCCUACAUUUCUAAACUGUUUUUAAUUUUAAGAUAUAGUUUUAAAUUCUGAUUUAAUCUUCACAGAUGUGAGAACUUUAAACUUCUCAGCAAGGAUAAAUCAGUAUCUAUGGUAGUUCAAGAAGUAGUCAGUUAGGAAUCCAUUGAUUCAUUUAUUCAACAAAUAUUUAAUCAAUGCCAGCUGUGUACCAAGCACCAUUUUAGGAUUCAGAGGCAAAUUAGCCUGAUAAAGGCCUAUCUUCUCAGUGCUUUCAUGGAAAGUGAAGCAGAGAUUAAACAAGCAAAUGAGAAGUAUCAGACACAAAGUCCACAAUGAGGAUAACACUGAUGUGAUAGUAACGGGGGACUGUUUCAGGUUAGGUGGUUAAAAGAGGCCUCUCCAAGGAGGUGCUGGUUAAGUGAAGAGAAGGGCGAGGAGCCAGACGUGAAAGAUCAGAAGCCCAUUACGGUUGAAGUGAAGAGAGCCAGACUGUCUGAAAUCCUUUGCUUCCCUUGAACAGUUGGUACUGGACCAGUGAGCCCCCUUUCUCCCCAGAGGCAGCUGUUCUGUAUGCGGGGCUGGAAGGCUCUGAAGGAGUUUAUGAAGAAGCACAAAGAGGAUCGGGUUGGAGUCUGAAGAUCUGGGUUCUUGUUGUAACCAUCCCCCUAAUGGAAAGUUCGUGAUUUCAGACAGCACAUUUAAUCUCCUGCUUCAUUUAUUCAUUGGUGCAGCCCCCGCGCCCCCCAGGCUGCAGGGGAGCCCCUCGCCCGCAGCCGCACCGUGGACCGGACGCUGGACGACGGAGGACACAUUUCCCGGACCGUGAGGCGCCAGGACCUCACGACGUCGCGCGCUACCGUCCGGGGGCGAGAGCGGCGGCCUGUGCGCCCCGCGCCAGCGCUGCACGGACGACCCCCGCCCGGCCAGGGUGCAGGCUCGCCCGCAGGGUUCGGAGCGCGGCCCCCGCCCCUGCCGUGAAUGUUCGUACUUGCAACGGCCCCGCAGCGGGAAGCGCCUCAGGUGCGGCGUCUGCGCCGCCGGCGCCGGGAAACACUCCUGGUCGGUGGGUUCAGAGCCGCGCUACGGCCCGCGGCUGAUUUCUGAGGAGGGUCGGUGCGGAAGGGCACGGAGAGGACGUGACCCCCGGGCUCCAUCCGGGCACCCGAGGCCCCUCGCCCCGCACACCCCGGCCCCACCUGGAGGUGUCUGUCUGCCCCGGGGCUGCUGACGGUGAGGCCGGCUGAGGCCUGGCGGCGACCCUUCCGUCCCCGCGGCAGGUGCGGGUGCCGACACGUGCUGGGCGCCAGGACGAGCCUGCGGGUGAGUGUCCUUUUGGUGUCCCGUUGUCUGCGGCCCGUCCCAUUUCACCUGGGAAGACCAACAACCUCACGGUGUCAGAGCGUCUGAUUUGUCAGCAAAUCCAGUGACAGCAAAGCGCGCGCCGCACUCCUGGUUUUCCAGUCCCUUCGAUGCCCAAACUGCAGGUGGAUCAUCUCCAUCUUACAGAUGAAGAAACUUGCAGAACUUCAGUCACCUGCUCAAGACCAGGCUGGUAAGUACCUGCGAGGAGACUCUGUGUGUGUUCCGCUACAGCAGGCGGCCCU